UACAUAGCUUAUGCGAAAGCAACCCAGUGAAUUGAAACAUCUUAGUAGCUGGAGGAAAAGAAAACAACAGUGAUUCCCUGAGUAGCGGCGAGCGAAACGGGAACAGCCCAAACCAACUUCGUGUUGGGGUAGUAGGACCACAAUGUGGGACUCAAGAGAUUAGAAGAACGGCAUUGAAAGGCCGGCCAGAGAAGGUGCAAGCCCUGUAAUCGAAAGUCCGAUGAGCCCUAGUGGCAUCCUGAGUACGGCGGGGCACGUGUAACCCUGUCGGAAGCAACCGGGACCAUCCGGUAAGGCUAAAUACUCCUAAUUGACCGAUAGUGAACCAGUACCGUGAGGGAAAGGUGAAAAGAACCGCGGGAGCGGAGUGAAAGAGAACCUGAAACCGUAUGCCUACAAGAAGUCAGAGCCCGUUAAGGGGUGAUGGCGUGCCUUUUGUAGAAUGAACCGGCGAGUUACCAUGUCGUGCGAGGUUAAGUAGAAAAUACGGAGCCGUAGCGAAAGCGAGUCUUAAUAGGGCGAUAGUACGACGCGGUAGACCCGAAACCAGGCGAUCUAGCCAUGAUCAGGUUGAAGGUUGGGUGAUACCAACUGGAGGACCGAACGCACCACCGUUGAAAAGUUGGGCGAUGAAUUGUGGCUAGGGGAGAAAUUCCAAUCGAGCUUGGAGAUAGCUGGUUCUCCCCGAAAUAGCUUUAGGGCUAGCGUCAAAGUGAAGUCCUGUGCAGGUAGAGCACUGAAUAUGUGAUGGCCUCAUCCCGAGGUACUGAAUGUAAUCAAACUCCGAAUGGCACAGUGAUAUAUUUGGCAGUCAGACUGUGGGUGAUAAGGUCCAUGGUCAAAAGGGAAACAGCCCAGAUCAUCAGUUAAGGUCCCAAAAUUCUUACUAAGUGGAAAAGGAUGUGGGGAUGCACAGACAACUAGGAGGUUGGCUUAGAAGCAGCCACCCUUUAAAGAGUGCGUAAUAGCUCACUAGUCGAGUGACACUGCGCCGAAGAUGUACCGGGGCUAAACACAAUACCGAAACUGCGGACUUGUACGUAAGUAUGAGUGAUAGGGGAGCGUUGUAAUUGCGAAGAAGGUAUACCGUGAGGAGUGCUGGAGCGAUUAGAAGUGAGAAUGCCGGUGUGAGUAACGAAAAAUGGGUGGAAAUCCCAUUCACCGAUUGACUAAGGGUUCCUGGGUAAAGUUCGUCUUCCCAGGGUAAGUCAGGACCUAAGAUGAGGCCUAAAGGCGUAGUCGAUGGACAAUAGGUAUAUAAUCCUAUACCACCUAUAUAACUGAAGGAGUGACGAAGGAGGCUAGCUAAAGCCAAUUAAUGGAUUUUGGUCUAAGCACAAAGGCUUGUACGGAGUAAAAUGCACGAUACAAAAGAGCUGAAGUGUGAUGGGGAAGUGAUACUUUCGGGUAGAGCGAAGUUAAGUGACGCCAAACUUCCAAGAAAAGCUUCUAGGGCUAAUUAUAUAGGUGCCUGUACCGAUAACCGACACAGGUGGUCAAGGAGAGAAUCCUAAGGUGAGCGAGAGAACUAUGGUUAAGGAACUCGGCAAAAUGAUCUCGUAACUUCGGGAUAAGGGGUGGUCUAGCGAUAGACCCGCAGUGAAUAGGUCCAGGCAACUGUUUACCAAAAACACAGGUUUCUGCAAACACGAAAGUGGAAGUAUAGGAGCUGACGCCUGCCCAGUGCUGGAAGGUUAAGGUAAGAUGUGAAUCCCUCGGGAGGCAGCAUUGAACUGAAGCCCCAGUGAACGGCGGCCGUAACUAUAACGGUCCUAAGGUAGCGAAAUUCCUUGUCAGGUAAGUU
rnacentral:rRNA from 1 species